UACGUAGGGUGCAGGCGUUAAUCGGAAUUACUGGGCGUAAAGCGUGCGCAGGCGGUUGUGCAAGACCGAUGUGAAAUCCCCGGGCUUAACCUGGGAAUGGCAUUGGUGACUGCACGGCUAGAGUGUGUCAGAGGGGGUAGAAUUCCACGUGUAGCAGUGAAAUGCGUAGAGAUGUGGAGGAAUACCGAUGGCGAAGGCAGCCCCCUGGGAUAACACUGACGCUCAUGCACGAAAGCGUGGGGAGCAAACAGG
rnacentral:rRNA from 1 species